ACGAAGGGGGCUAGCGUUGCUCGGAAUUACUGGGCGUAAAGCGCACGUAGGCGGCUCUUUAAGUCGGGGGUGAAAUCCUGGAGCUCAACUCCAGAACUGCCUUCGAUACUGAGGAUCUUGAGUUCGGGAGAGGUGAGUGGAACUGCGAGUGUAGAGGUGAAAUUCGUAGAUAUUCGCAAGAACACCAGUGGCGAAGGCGGCUCACUGGCCCGAUACUGACGCUGAGGCACGAAAGCGUGGGGAGCAAACAGGA
rnacentral:rRNA from 1 species